GAUUCUGUGCACCUUAUAUGUGAUCUUCAGAUUAGAAAUUAUUCUCCUUUGCUACAAUCACCACUUUGCAGAAACACCCUAUUUCCAUUCCUUCUCCUCUCAAGAGCAGCUCAUAGUUCCAGAGUGGCCAGACAUCUGUACAUGGUUAUCUUCACUGUGGUCCAUAAGAAUGCCCAAGAAGUCAGGACACUACCAUGCACCUGGAAACACUGCAGCAUGGACAGAGAAGUCGAAGUAUUUGAAAACAGAUCAGAAAGACUGAUUUGAUUUCUGUAUUUCUAAAAGAAUCUCCUCUAUGAUUUCUGCAACAUUGCAUACAACCCAACUGAAUGGGAAUCCAAGGUCUGCUGCCAGUGACUGCUGAGAACACAGGAGGGUGAAAGAGGACAAGACUCCAGCUAGAUCUUGCAUAAUUCCAGCUGCUGAAAGAAACAUACAGAGAGCUGAAAUCAGAGGUGAUGUAAGAGUUCUUUACUGGAAUGAGAAGACAAAAAAAUGUAUUAAGAUCAUUUUUCUGGCUGAUGGAAGCUACUGGUCUUCAGAAGUCAAGUCUGUAAGUAGUGUCUGGUUAUAAAUUUAAGUGAAAGAUGCUGUAAGAAGACAUCAGAACAAUCUCAGGGAGGAGAAGCUCUGAGAGCUGCUGCUUUCCUGC